CUCUCUCGAACUCUCGGAUGAGUUAGGAGUGGGUUUUUAGUUUCUCAGCCUAGGAAGGUUUGUGUUUUCCUUUUCACCUCUCAUUACAUUGCCUUGUGGUCAGAGAACUUGGUCUAUGUGAGUCUUUGGAAUUCAAUACGACUUCCUCUGUGGCUUUGCACAUGGUCAUUUUCUGUGCCUCUGAGCUAGGUUUAUAGGAAAGGCAGGGUUUAGCGAAGGAUGGAAAGCACAGGCUCUCACUCUGUGGGAAAUGGAGGUGACCCAUCCUGAAGGAAUUUUCGAAGUUCCGGGCUCAUCUGCAGUCUUGGAUGUCUUCAGGGCAGAAGCCUCCAGUUUCAGAGUCCAGCCAAGACUCCUAAAAUUCUCAACAUGUGUUCCUCAUCUGAUCAGGACUUAAGCCUUUCAAACUUCCUGGAAGAGGAUUUCUGAAAAUGGCAGAUGCAGGUGGCCUGGCAGAGUUCACAGCAGCUGGAUGGUGGUAGCUGAGGCUUGUUCACACUGAAGCCAUGGAUCAGGAAACAAGAGUAAUCUUGAACUAAAAGCUGGCAUAAUGUUUAAGGCCUUGCUUGCUGACUUACCUUUGCCAGCUCCCAAAGUAUUGCCACCAGCCAUGGACCAAGUGUUCAAACACAGGCGCCUGUGGGGUACCACAACGUUACAAGAUUCAAAUAGAGAAACACAUACAUCAAUAAGAGUUUAUGGCUAAAAUAUGUAUCGUUUAUUUGUUCAACAGUUGAGUUUCUUUUGUGGUUCACGUCAUGUCCUUGGCACUGAGAAUAAAGAUAAAUCCUGGCCCUCAGGGAGCUCACAGUCUAGUGGGGUAAACACACAAAAAUAAAUAUAAUGCAAUGUAACUAGGGUACACAAAGGGACUACUAAAAAGACAGAGAACAGAGGAAUCUAAAUCCUUUGUGAAUGUCUGUAGGUGAGAAAAGACCCAUCUAGUGGACAUUUUCAUAAGAGACAAGGCAAUGGCUCACAAAAGCUCACUAAAUUACCCAUAUCAGAAUUACCUAGAAUACAUACAUACUAAAAUGUAGGUUCUCAGGGCUUUCUGCAUUCAGCCAGCGUAGGGACCCAGGAACUGCAUCUUAAAGUGCUCUUAAGUGAUUCUACUGCAUCUCAAGUUGAGAACCAGUGAGAUAAAAUUUUUUGUAAUCUCUGCAUUUGAAAUGUUGACUUAACUUUCUUCCUGUCUGGCGGUGGGAACCAAACGCAAGGCCUGAUGCAUGCUAGGAACAUAGUUCCACCACUGAGCUAUUCCUAGCCCCUGUGUUGGUCUUUAAUGAAGAAGUAAAGAAAAAGAAGAGAUCCAGCAUGCACUGAAUUCUAUUGUAGUGUAUAUAGAAGCUUACUGAAGUUUCAAAAUAAUCCAACGAGGUAGAUAUCAUCCCCAUGUUCAGAAGAAAGGUAAGAAUUAGAGUUUAAGUAAUUUAUCAUUAACAAGCUAAGAAAAGUAACGCUGCUAUAAGAACCAAAUUCAAUGAGCUCCAAAGUCCACCUGAGAAAUAGCAUGCUGGAAUCAGGGAACACAUUUACAGACUAACUGCUAUGGUUUUCAUUUAUUUGCUAGAUCUCUUUGGUAAAAUAAAUAUUAACAACAGUCAGAUGGCACCUUAUCCGACUGUAUCUGAUAUAAUUACCCAUGGAUACACCAUCCUUCUUUGGCACGAUGGAGCUGAGGUUAAAGCUGGGAGGAGUAUGACAUGAACAGCUAGUUUUGCUUUUUUCAUCAUCAUCAUCAUUUUUUUUUUAAUCUGCUAGUAGUGGUGUCAUGAAGAUGUUCUAUGACUAAGAACUGGGUCUAUCUGGAGAGAAAAACAAACAAAGCUGGAUACCCACAAGAGCAGCCCCACCCAAGGCUGAGUCUCGAGACUUAUAUCACCCAGAAGCGUGGAAGGCAUUUAAGGAAAACUGCAGAGUUGACAGCACUCAAGUUCUUAAAAUGCAGACCAUUGGAACCAUGGUGGGUCUAGAAGCUGCAUCAGAAAACACUCAACCUUUAGAGAAACUGAAAGCACAGCACAGCGUCUCCAGGUUAAAGAAACACUAUGUUUCUCCACCCAGAAAAUAUUGGGAUGGUCAACCCUACUGUCUUAGCUACUAUUCUACUGUUGUGAAGAGACACCAUGACAAGGCAAAUUUCAUAAAAGAAAGCAUUUAACUGGGGCUGGCUUACAGUUUCAGAGGCUCAGUCCAUUGCCAUCACUGCAGAGAGCAUGGCAGCAGGCAGGAGUGAUACUGCAGAAGUAGCCGAGAGCUACAUCCUGACCUGCAUGCACAGGCUUUUAAAACCUCAAAGCCCCUCCCCCACUGCCUCCAAGGCCACACCCCUUAAUCUUUCUAAUCCUUUCAAAUGGUUCUGCUCCUUGGUGACUAAGCCUGCAAAUAUAUGAGCCUAUGGGAGCCAUUCUUAUUCAAACCACCAUACCUACUUAAAAAGCUUUGAGAAGCCCACUCUAAAAAUAUCUGUAAUGAAGAAAAUAUAUAUAGACAUAAACUGAAAAUACUACUUAACUUUCUAUUCACCAUGCUUGGUGGCAUCUAACAUCAGACUGGAGUGGCAGAUUAAGGUGGAGCACAUUAGAUGAGAGGUGUGGGACAGGGACUGGCAAUAACACUGGGAGACACCUGAGGCUUUGAGUUCAUAAGGCUGGUGUGGACCCACCAUUCUUUUUCACCAAUGAACCUGGAGCUAGAGUGAUACAUGUCCUUCUGGUGGAGAAUAACUUGCUUAUUUGUGACAUUUCAAGAAAUCACUGAGCCCCAAGAAGAGUUCUGAUAAAAUUAACCCACAGCUCUGAUGCCACCAACGGCGCACAGCUGAGUUUCCACUAUUUUGUGUAGCAAAGACUGAAAACCAGACUUUACAGCUACAUUCCCCACACUCAGUCUAGAAACAUUUGCUUCUACCCACAUUUUCAUUUUAAAAUCAUGCAAAUCUGGGAUGAUCUUAUAAAAAGAUUUUAUUUACACUGAAUUGAUUCGUUAGCUUCUCACAGGCAGAGUUGAGGGAGCAGGGCCAAAAGCGAUGGUUUAACAGUGUGCAGGCAAUGUAUUUGUUUAUUAUUUCAGGUACUUGUACCUGCAAUCGCUUAGUUGCACUGAAGGCAACUCUGGAGGGGCAUCUAGAAGUCUUUACUUUGAGGAGAAUAGCAAGUUGUGUUGAAUCUGGCCAGGAUUCUUGGGCUGUUCACUGGUGCAGGGAAAGAAUACACAAAGCCAACAUCUCUAAGACCCUCAAGAUUAUUGCUACAGGUUUAGGAAGACAGAACUGGGAG